rnacentral:rRNA from 1 species
GACGAACGCUGGCGGCGUGCUUAACACAUGCAAGUGGAGCGACGGACCAGGCUUCGGCCUGGGGCCAAGCCGCGAACGGGUGAGUAACACGUGGGCAACCUGCCCCGACGACCGGGACAACCCGACGGAAACGUACGGGCUAAUACCGGAUGUGCUCGCCUCGCGCAAGCGAGGCGCGUAAAGGAAGCUUCGGCCUCCGCAUCGGGA